AAGUAAACAUGCAAGCGUGUACCAUCGAUGGUACACGUGGCACGGAACGUGUUAAUAAAUUGUUAACGAAAAUUACAGCCCUUGCAGCCGCUGCGUGUCGAGCUGGCGCUCUAAUCGGCCUGUAUUUUUCAUUAAUAAUUUAUGAACAUUGCCGCAAUCUUACAAAUCGCCUCGGAAAAAUCGCUCCUUUUCACAGCUUCUCCGAGAAACUUUUUCAAGACACUUUUUAGACAGCCUGUACAUAUUCGCGCGCUUGCUCGUCCCUUGUUGCAAAAAACAUUCGUCGGUCAAUUCGCACAGGAAUUUCCGGUUACUCGUGCUGCUGAAAAUUUCCAUUGUUUUGAAUAGGAAAAUGCUAGUGGUGCUUUAACAAGUGAAUUUUCUUUGAACAGUUUCAAACCUAGGCGAUUAACAUGAAUCAAAGGAUAAUAGUAGAGCCUCGGAAAGUGAUGAACGCUUCUCUGAAUUCUUUCAUUCUUCGUUAAUGUAACAAAUAUAGCACCCGAAGAAUUUAUCAAAUAGAGGAGAUACUAAUUUUUAUAAAAAUUGAACACAUAUCACUUCGUAUAUCUCUAUGCGAGAAGGCCAUCGACGCUGUUGUGCAUAUUUUCAUUGAAUAAAAAUAUUGUUUUCAAGAGCCUUUGUUUUAUUUGAAACCUAUAAAAAUCGUGAAUUCAGUUUAUGCUACUUCUUCAUGUAUCACACUAUAUCGUGUCACGUACAUAUGUUACAUAAUAUUAUACUGUACUACAACAUAAGAUACUUUUUUAGCUAUUCCUUCUCGUUUCUUUUGGCUUUUCAGUGUCCUUUAGGAUUAUUUCUUCUCAAUCAACUUCAUCACUUACUCAUUUAAGAAUGCUCCUUUUAAUGCAUGCAUUAUGUUUUAACUGUUACCUUCUGUUUUUCUUCAGUUUCAUGCGUAUUCAUCUCACUCUGUUCAUGGCCAGACCAAAUAUUCGAUAUUUACAUUAUAACACAAUAUACUGUUGUAGACAAAUGUAAAUUGUUUAUUCGCAUCUACAGUAAUACUAUGUCGAGAUAAAACAGUUUCACAGACUGAUUUUUGUUCAGACGUAAGAAGAAAAUAUAAUACAAUACAGUACAAUACAAUACAAUAAACAUUUACGUAUACAGGAUGAAUUAUACAACUUUUAAAUCAUGCAUCUAAUCGAAAAGUGUUAAAUAUAAAAGUUGUACAGUUUUAAGGGAAGGAGGCGAUGUCGUAGCCAUUUUUAUUGUACAUAGUGUAGUUCUCGAAAUUUCAAGGUCUACGUCGUUCUUUUAAAUAGAAAGGAAUAUUUUUAACAUCGUAGAUCGACAGAACGUUAAAUUCUGAAUAGAAAUAUAUAAAUCUAUGUUGAUCCUAAAUUUAACGGUUAACGAGAUAUUAACGAUUCCUCUGACGAUGCCACGCGGCUUACAUACGCUUACCUUAAAAUCUCGUUUAGGCUUAGGAUCAGCAUAGGUUUAUACUUUUCUACUUAAAAUGAAAUAUUCUUUGAAUCUACCUCUCUUUCUAUUUAGAAAAGAGAAUGUCGACCUUAAAAAUUCGAGAAUUGCAUUAUGUUCAAAAACGUGAAUGCGACAUCACUACAACUUUUAUAUUUAACAAUUUUUAAUUAAAUGUAUCAUUUAGAAGUUAUUUGGGAUGUGCAAGUUAUAUUAUUGACCCUGUAUCUUUACAUAAUUUUUGCAAUUUACCAAGGAAGAGAGAUGUAAUCUAUAUUUCUUUUGCAGAAUUUACUUAUAGCAGUAACUAUGGCUCGCAUGAUAUCGAAAGAAAACGUGAAAGAAAGAUGGCUAAUAUUAUUUUGAAUAUGCUUGAUUAAAAAGAAAAUGAACAAUUUAGUUUAAUUUUAAAGAAUGACGGUAACCCACUUUGAUUAUGAAAAUCCUAUAUAUAUAUAGAAAAUAUUUAUAACAUUAUAGAGAGCCAAAUACCGUUCCUUGCCGACAGCUUUUAAAUUUAAUAAUGAAAAUCGUACAGUCCACAAUGGAGGAAGCAGUUUCAAUUCACAGUUAUCCGACUGUUCAACAUCCAGUCAUCGUUAAACAUUAUCACAGAAGACGACAAACCAUUAUCAACUGUGCAAUAAAACGUUAUAAGAAGCUAGAUGCCCAGUGUAGCUGAUCCGAUAGAACGAAAAUAAACAGGAUCUUGAUAAGAACUGCCUGAAAUAGAGCUGCUUAAGCAUGCAAUCGAUUCGCGCAAGCUAUUAUUAGUAACGCUCGUUAAAUCUUGUUCUAAAUGUUCGGGCAAACGAACAGCAUUUUUAUUGGUUCUUCCAAUUUUCAGGUGUACCCGUUAUUAGCAGAGUCGUGCAGCUGAAACUGAAUGCAGGACUACCGGAUGGUCCUGAUCGACGCUUAAUAAUUAUAUAUUUCAACAAAACCGUCUGCAAGUGUCUCAAACAAAAACGUUAACUAUUGGGUUGGCAACUAAGUAAUUGUCGAUUUCAGUUGUAGAUGUCUCUCACUCCCAUUUU